rnacentral:rRNA from 1 species
CCUACGGGAGGCAGCAGUGGGGAAUAUUGCACAAUGGGGGAAACCCUGAUGCAGCGACGCCGCGUGAGUGAAGAAGUAUUUCGGUAUGUAAAGCUCUAUCAGCAGGGAAGAAAAUGACGGUACCUGACUAAGAAGCCCCGGCUAACUACGUGCCAGCAGCCGCGGUAAUACGUAGGGGGCAAGCGUUAUCCGGAUUUACUGGGUGUAAAGGGAGCGUAGACGGCCAGACAAGUCAGAAGUGAAAGCCCAGGGCUCAACCCUGGGACUGCUUUUGAAACUGCCGGGCUGGAGUGCAGGAGAGGUAAGCGGAAUUCCUAGUGUAGCGGUGAAAUGCGUAGAUAUUUGGAAGAACACCGAUGGCGAAGGCAGCCCCCUGGGACGCAACUGACGCUCAUACACGAAAGCGUGGGGAGCAAACAGGAUUAGAUACCCCGGUAGUC